UCUUAUGGAUGAGCACAAAAAAGUGGUUUGCUAAGAUGGAAUCUACUAUUGGUGAUGAUGCUGUGAA
rnacentral:pre_miRNA from 3 species